rnacentral:rRNA from 1 species
ACCCCUACUACGAUGGACAGAGAACCAGCUUCACCCAAUCUAACCCCAACCCCAGCCGAUAGUAACCUAGUUUAUGUUGACACAGCACCAUCUCCACCACAGAGCUCCCAAACAAGAGCAAUUAGUAAGGCAGCUCCAGUGCCCAAAGGGCCAGUACUAUCACGGCGAACCCCAACUCCACCAGUUAGUACGCCUAUUCCUGUGAGGAAGCACAACCAGCUAGUCGUAGUUUAGCAUCUAUCGCAUUUGAUGUUAUUAAAUCGUAUGUACGUAUCUUCCCAUCUUGGAAAUAUUAUACU